UCUGGUGUCAGCAUUGUAUUACUUGCAAACCUUUGUACGCGAUAUUCGGCACUCAGACUUCCAUAGGCGGCUGAUAUAACAACUUCCAAAGAACUUACUAAAACUGAACACAUGGCGUCGGCAAAUGAUGAUCUGCUUAGAGAGUCUAAAGAAUGGAAUAGAAAGUACCAAAAAGGAGGUGUACUUCGAAUGGUCCUCGUCGGAACAAGAAGAAGUGGAAAAAGUUCCACAGGCAAUGCUAUUUUGCGUGGAAUUAAAUUCCCAGCUGGAUUAAGUGGGGGAAGAGUAACAAGAGAUAUUCGGAGAGAAGAAACGACUGUAAACAACAAAACACUGGCCAUCGUUGAUACACCGGGAUUUGUUAACAUGCAAAACGAUUCGCACGUCGAAAGCAUUAUGAAGAUAAUUGGCAAAGGCGCUAAAUUGGUUACUCCUGGGCCUAACGUUUUUUUAUUCGUUUUCUCAAUACUAGGUUUCUCUUAUGCAGACGAGAUGAUGAUUAAUUAUUUCUGUAAGAGGCAAAAGGAAAUGAUCAAAUAUGUGAUAGCUGUUUUUACGGGUCGAGAUAUCCUAGAGAAAAACCAAAGUAAUUUUGAUACAUAUAAAAGUCAACUUCCUUGGGAAAGUAAGGAAUUUUUGAACAAUUUACAUGACAGAGUGUUUGCCAUUGAUAAUACGAAACAUGAUAAAGAGGUCAACAAUUUCAUAAACAAAAUAGAGGAGGUUUCUACGCGAUCUGAAGAUUUCUAUUAUGAUUGCAAAAAAUUUAAAUAGAUGAGAAACACUGAACAGUCAUGCUGAAGGAAAAACAAUAUGUCUUUAUCACACAAAAAAAAAAAAGAAUUUGUUUAUUUUUUUUUUUGGCGUUUUUAUAAUAUAUUUAAGUUUAUAUAGAAACUAAGAUACUAAGUCUCUCAUUUGGUAAGUCAGGAGUAAACCCGUUGGAAGGAAAAAUAAAAUAGAAAGUUGAAGAGCUAUAAAAUCGAAAAUUCCGAAAGGUUGUGACAAAAAGAUCUCAGACAAUCUAUGCCUGGAGAAGGUGAAAAACCUUAUGUGUUUCGAAUAAUUCAAAUUUUCAUAAACAGUAAAUUUAGAAAUAUAGAUGUCUACCAUUUCUUGUUUGUUCCAGAAAAUAAGUUAUGUAGAGAUAUUUUUCAUUUGACAAAUUGUAAAUAUGACAUAUGAAACAAGUAUUUUACUCAUGUGAUAAGAUGGCUAGAAAACUUAUUUCUCAUCUAUUAUUAUGCUCUUUGAUAUCAAAUAGGUCAAAAUUGUUGUAUAUUUAAUAACUAUCUUAAGGUGCAUUGUCAACUAAAUUCGUUCACCUUUCAAUAAAUUCUGCCAUGUU